UAAACCCAGGGCUCCCCUUCACAGUGAGUCUCCCUCACCACCCAGCUGGGGAUCUCAGUGCUUCAUUUUCUGUCCUUCAUUUCUCAGUGCUUCAUUUCUGUCCUCCACCACGAUGGGGUCAGCUGCCAUCCUUGCCCUCCUCCUGGCUGUUCUCCAAGGAGUCUCUGCCGAGGUGCAGCUGGUGCAGUCUGGAGCAGAGGUGAAAAGGCCCGGGGAGUCUCUGAAGAUCUCCUGUAAGACUUCUGGAUACAGCUUUACCAGCUACUGGAUCAGCUGGGUGCGCCAGAUGCCUGGGAAAGGCCUGGAGUGGAUGGGGGCGAUUGAUCCUAGUGAUUCUGAUACCAGAUACAGCCCGUCCUUCCAAGGCCAGGUCACCAUCUCAGCUGACAAGUCCAUCAGCACCGCCUACCUGCAGUGGAGCAGCCUGAAGGCCUCGGACUCCGCCACGUAUUACUGUGCGAGACACACAGUGAGAGAAACCAGCACUGAGCCCAUCUAAAACCCUCCACAACGCAGGUGCUGAAUGAGCUGCCAGAGACUCCCUCCCCAGGGACCUCUCUAUUCAUCCGGGGAGGAAACACUGGCUGUCUGUGUCCCCAGGAGCCAGAGCCAGAGAACAACAUGGGAGGGUUCCCAGCCCCUAACACAACUGGAUAGGGGACUUGAAUGUGGGAGGUGGAUUCUCUGACGGUGUUCUUGUGUGUUCUACAAGGUUGUUCAUGGUGAAUAUUACAUGGUUAACAUCAAAAGCCUGCCUAAUAGGCACCUCUUCAAUAUGACAGUCUUUUAAUUAGUGAAAGUUUUACACAGUUCAUCCUUGCUUGCUUGCUUUCCUGCCACCUAUCCACUCUCACUCCUUUUAUUUUCUAUUUCAUUUUCCAAAAUCAUUUAAUCCCUUUUUGAACUAUUCAUAGAUUCUCUUUGGUUGGUUGUUGUUUUCCUUUCAAUAUGUACUGAAUAAUUCAUCUUUGUGCCAAUUCAUAAGUAUUUUUGUAUAAUAAAGACUUCUUUCAUAAAAAUUGGAUAAAUU